rnacentral:other from 1 species
CCGGAGCUAGUAUUAACCUACUGUAUGUCAAUGAGGUUUCCUCCUCGUCAGAGUUAGUAACGAAUUGCUGUGUGUAGUCUUUGCCCAUCCCCUGAGAUGGGCCUUUUUUUUU